ensembl:lncRNA
AUGAUGGCUCCGACCUCCAGAAUCUUUCACAAUCUGUAUAACCUCUUACCAGAUAUGCUGUGGCAAAACUUCAAAGAAAAUCCUGAAAUCUUCAAGAAAGAAGCAUAUAAACCUACAAAAAACAGGAAUCAGGUUCACUUUAAAGUUAUGAAAGAAAAUAACUUGGAGUCAAGAAUUCUAUACCCAGCUAAAUUAUUUUUCAAGUGUGUGGGUAAAAACAAUAAAAAUGUGCACAAAGAUAGCCAUUGAAGGUUUUUUUUUUUUCUUGCCUGAUGAAAAAUUUCCCACUUUUUUUUUCUUUUUUUAUGUAAGUUCUGGGAUACAUGUGCAGAACAUGCAGGUUUGUUACAUAGGUAUACAUGUACCGUGGUGGUUUGCUGCACCUAUCAACCCGUCAUCUAGGUUUUAAGCCCCACAUGCAUUCGGUAUUUGUCCUAAUGCUCACCUUCCCCUUGCCCCUCACUCCCCAAUGGGCCCUGGUGUGUGAUGUUUGCCUCCCUGUGUCCAUGUGUUCCCAUUGUUCAACUCCUACUUAUGAGUGAGAACAUGCAGUGUGUAGUUUUCUGUUCCUGUGUUAGUUUACUGAGGAUGAUGGUUUCCAACUUCAUUCAUGUCCUUGCAAAGGAUAUGAACUCAUUCUUUUUUAUGGCUGCAUAGUAUUCCAUGGUAUAUAUGUGCCACAUUUUCUUUAUCCAGUGUAUCAUUGAUGGGCAUUUGGGUUGGUUCCAAGUCUUUGCUAUUGUAAAUAGUGCUGCAAUAAACAUAUGUGUGCAUGUGUCUUUUUUUUUAAUAGCUAAAAUUCAGAAACAACAUAGGGAAUCAAUAGCAGAAUGGAGUGUAUAAAGCCUGGCUUAUUCAAAUAAUAGUGCACCGAGGAUAAUUAAAUAAAAGAAUUAGAUCUACAGAAGCUCUACUGAUAAAUCUCGUAAGAGCAACUUGUAAAAGAAUAUUAUGCUAUGAUGACAUCUGUGUAAAUUGAAGUUAUCAUCAUUAUCGUCAACAUCAUCGUCAGAGCAAACACAUAGUUCUUUCUAUGUACCAGGCAUGGUGUUAAGCAGCAUCUCCAUUUUAUCUCAUUUAAUCAUCACAAAAACUCUGUGAAGUAAAAUAUAAUUAUCAGCAUUUUACAAACAAGAGCACUGAAGUGUGGAGAGGUUAGAUAAUUUGCCCCAGGUCAUCUAAUAAGUGACAGGCCUGGAAUGGGAAUCCAGGUAGACUAGUUCAGACUGUAUUACCAUACUCAAAACAAUGAGUGAUGCCACUCAAAACAAUGCUACGUGUUCUUGGCGGAUUCAUCUUAUGUAGCAAAAGUAGGGAAACGUGAACAGGAAAUCUGUCAACUUCAGCAUAGUGCUUGCUUCUGGGAGGGAAGAAAAGGGAGCUGGAUGAGGGAGACGUACUGAUUUUAUCUGUAAUGUUUUAUCUUGUUAGAAAAAUGGAACACAACUGUGGCAAAAUAUUAUCAUGUUGAAUCAGGAUUCUGGGUAUAUGGAGUAUCCAUAACAUUAUCCUCUGUGAUUUUCUGCAUGUGUAAAAUCUUUUAAGUCAAGGCCGGGUGUGGUGGCUCAUGCCUGUAAUCCCAGCACUUUGGGAGGCCAAAGCAAGUGAAUCACCUGAGGUCAGGAGCUCGAGGCCAGCCUGGGCAAAAUGGUGAAGCCUCGUCUCUACUAAAAAUACAAAAAUUAGCUGGGUGUGGUGGCGCAUGCCUGUAAUCCCAGCUACUCGGGAGGCUGAGGCAGGAGAAUCGCUUGAGCCCAGGAGGCAGAGGUUGCAGUGAGCCGAGAUUGCGCCACUGCACUCCAGCCUGGGUGACAGAACGAGACUCAGUCUCAAACAAAAAAGCAAAACAAAACAAAAUAAACAUCUUUUAAGUCAAAAUAAAAUGUGAUGCAGUUAGUGUCUCUCCAACUUUGGCUGUAUCCUUACAGUGAAACAUCGGUGAGAGAUUAGUGAAUAAAGUCAUUGUUUAAAAGACUCCAUAAAAGAGAAUUGCAAGUGUCAUGACCUGUGAUUUUCGAGAGUAAAGAGUCGUAAUUCUAAUGCCACUUCACAGUGUAAAAUAUAAACUUCAUCUCAUACCAAAAUGGCAAUUCC